rnacentral:tRNA from 1 species
UCGGUGCAUGGCCCGCGGGCCGGUGACCGGGUCGUUCUCGGUGACUCGGGCCUGGUCGUCCGGGUCGAGUCCGACGCACAGAA